AAUAGUUUUAUGCCACAUCAGUACUCUUAUCCUGAAUUUUAGGAUUUUAUCCUGAAAAAAAUCAAAUCCAGGAUAAAAUCCUGAAAUUCAGGAUAAAAAUCCUGAAAUUCAGGAUAAAAAUACUGAUGUGGCAUAAAACUAUU
rfam:Gossypium hirsutum cultivar TM-1 scaffold4245.1_1, whole genome shotgun sequence